CAGGAGCUCAGUUGUUUCCUCUGUGCAAGAGUUUUAAUUCUACCCUAAGAGACUUUUGGAGUAACCUGACUAUGACACGUUACACAGCAUUAAUGUGUUCUAUUCUUACACAGCCAGCUUAAUAUACUUGUUUCUAAUUAAAACCAAAACCGUCCUCAAAUACCUCUGAGCUACUUUGGGGUGAUUCUAUUUUGACCAAUCUCUCCAAACUAACAACACAGCAAGUGUUCCCUCAUUUACUGCUUUACUGCAGAAAUGUGUUUAUGCCACAUCAUCCUGAUACAUCUCCACAGUGUCAGCCAAGAGCACAAAAGCUCAGAACCAGCUCACACGUGGACAUGCAGCCAAAACAGCCUGAGAAGAUUUACUGUGUCAGUUCUGAAGGAUGCAGCUCUCAAAGGCAUCUAAGCUUUCCCAAAGGAAAAAAGCUGUAACCAAACAUCACAAAGUUUAAAAAUCCCAGUUUCUCACAAAACAAGAAUUAGUGUUUUGGCAUUAACCUCCUGAAGAGAAAGUUCAAGUAAAGAAAGGAGGAUGUGUAGAAGGUAAUAUCAAGCAAGUACAACAAAUGGAAAUAAAUAAAAAUAAUAAAGGAAAUAAAUGUAUUAG